CUUGGGCAGAAGGAGGGAGACGGAUGGGAGAGUCUUCAUGAUGGAGUGUGAAUGGGUGGCCCUCCCCCCUUCCUCACCCGCAGGAAGGGGGAUACCUUAACCCGGGUUAGGUUAAGGUAUCAGUUAGGGUUAGGUUAAGGUAUCAGUUAGGGUUAGGUUAAGGUAUCCGUUAGGGUUAGGUUAAGGUAUCAGUUAGGGUUAGGUUCAGGUAUUAGUUAGGGUUAGGUUAAGGUAUCAGUUAGGGUUAGGUUCAGGUAUCAGUUAGGGUUAGGUAAACGUAUCAGUUAGGGUUAGGUUAAGGUAUCAGUUAGGGUUAGGUUAAGGUAUCAGUUAGGGUUAGGUAAACGUAUCAGUUAGGGUUAGGUUAAGGUUGUACAAUGUUAGGGUUAGGUUAACGUUGUACAAUGUUAGGGUUAGGUUAACGUUGUACCAUCUGAGGGUUAGGGUUAGGUUAACGUUGUGCCUUGUUAGGGUUAGGGUUUGGUUAACAUUGUGCCUUGUUAGGGUUAGUUGUGUGCUAAUCAUGCAGAUUGACAUGCCUAGCAUCAUUUAGCGGCCGAUUGAGUUGCAGAAUAACCUCAGUGACUUUGACCACACAGCAUCAGAGACACAGCGUGAGAGAAGGUGCCCUGAUCACAUUCUUAACUAAUGAGUUAGCAUUAAUCUGGAUACGGUUACCGCUGGGUCAGACCGCGCAGCGGAGAAGAACAAUCAGGACAUGAAAGGUUUUUCGGCGUUUCGUUAGCACGACCGUUUGAACAUCUCGGGCUGCUGUCACCGGCUUUACCUGAGUGUUCCAAUUUAACAGUUUAACCGACCGGAGAGGAAGGAAUAAAUACUCCUACUAGAUUAUCCUGGUGACGGCCCUUAUCAAUCUUGUAGAAUCCCCGUCUCAUGUCACAUGUUAUGGGUUUCCAUUUCUCUUUAUUCAUGACUGAAAUAGAUAAUGCAGAGAGAG
ensembl:lncRNA